ACCUGAAACCGUGUACGUACAAGCAUUGGGAGCACCUUCGGGUGUGACUGCGUACCUUUUGUAUAAUUGGUCAGCGACUUAUAUUCUGUAGCAAGGUUAACCGUAUAGGGGAGCCGCAGGGAAACCGAGUCUUAACUGGGCGUUAAGUUGCAGGGUAUAGACCCGAAACCCGGUGAUCUAGCCAUGGGCAGGUUGAAGGUUGGGUAACACUAACUGGAGGACCGAACCGACUAAUGUUGAAAAAUUAGCGGAUGACUUGUGGCUGGGGGUUAAAGGCCAAUCAAACCGGGAGAUAGCUGGUUCUCCCCGAAAGCUAUUUAGGUAGCGCCUCGUGAACUCAUCUUCGGGGGUAGAGCACUGUUUCGGCUAGGGG
rnacentral:rRNA from 1 species